rnacentral:tRNA from 1 species
GACCUUAUAGUUUAAUUAAAAUACUAAAUUGCAAGUUUAGAGAUAGGGAGGGCUUGGGGUUU